rnacentral:misc_RNA from 1 species
GAUGAAGAACGCAGCGAAAUGCGAUACGUAAUGUGAAUUGCAGAAUUCAGUGAAUCAUCGAGUCUUUGAACGCACAUUGCGCCCCCUGGUAUUCCGGGGGGCAUGCCUGUCCGAGCGUCAUUGCUGCCCUCAAGCACGGCUUGUGUGUUGGGCUCCGUCCCCCGAUCCCGGGGGACGGGCCCGAAAGGCAGCGGCGGCACCGCGUCCGGUCCUCGAGCGUAUGGGGCUUUGUCACCCGCUCUGUAGGCCCGGCCGGCGCUUGCCGAUCAACCAAAUUUUUAUCCAGGUUGACCUCGGAUCAGGUAGGGAUACCCGCUGAACUUAAGAAUAUCAAUAAGCGAGGA